UACGUAGGGGGCGAGCGUUGGCCGGAAUUAUUGGGCGUAAAGAGCUCGUAGGCGGUGUGUCGCGUCGGCCGUGAAAACCUGGGGCUCAACUCUGGGCGUGCGGUCGAUACGGGCAUCACUAGAGUUCGGCAGGGGAGACUGGAAUUCCUGGUGUAGCGGUGAAAUGCGCAGAUAUCGGGAGGAACACCGGUGGCGAAGGCGGUUCUCUGGGCCUUACCUGACGCUGAGGAGCGAAAGCGUGGGGAGCGAACAGG
rnacentral:rRNA from 1 species